UACGUAGGGUGCAAGCGUUGUCCGGAAUUAUUGGGCGUAAAGAGCUUGUAGGCGGUUUGUCGCGUCUGCCGUGAAAGCCCAGGGCUUAACCCUGGGUCUGCGGUGGGUACGGGCAGACUAGAGUGUGGUAGGGGAGACUGGAAUUCCUGGCGUAGCGGUGAAAUGCGCAGAUAUCAGGAGGAACACCGAUGGCGAAGGCAGGUCUCUGGGCCACUACUGACGCUGAGAAGCGAAAGCAUGGGGAGCAAACAGG
rnacentral:rRNA from 1 species